CGGGGUGCCCAGGCGCGAAAACUUUGCAAUAGGCGAAAGCCUGACAGGGCUAUCCCGAGUGCCAUCCGCUGAGGAAGGCUUUUACCCAGUCUAGAACGCUGGGGGAAUAAGGAGAGGGCAAGUCUGGUGUCAGCCGCCACGGUAAUACCAGCUCUUCGAGUGGUGUGGAUGUUUAUUGGGCCUAAAGCAUCCGUAGCUGGCUAAGUUAGUCCCUUGUUAAAUCCACCGAAUUAAUCGUUGGAUCGCGGGGGAUACUGCUUGGCUAGGGGACGAGAGAGGCAGACGGUAUUUUCGGGGUAGGGGUGAAAUCCUAUAAUCCCGGGAAGACCACCAGUGGCGAAGGCUGUCUGCUAGAACGCGCCCGACGGUGAGGGAUGAAAGCUGGGGGAGCGAACCGGAUUAGAUACCCGGGUAGUCCCAGCUGUAAACGAUGCAGACUAGGUGUUUGGACGGCCACGUGCCGUUCUAGUGCCGCAGGGAAGCUGUUAAGUCUGCCGCCUGGGGAGUACGAUCGCAAGAUUGAAACUUAAAGGAAUUGGCGGGGGAGCAC
rnacentral:rRNA from 1 species